rnacentral:rRNA from 1 species
UUCCGGUUGAUCCUGCCGGAGGCUACCGCUAUUGGAGUUCGAUUAAGCCAUGCGAGUCGCGAGACUAAGAAUCUCGGCGUACCGCUCAGUAACACGUGGGUAACCUGCCCUAUGCUGGGGAAUAACCUCGGGAAACUGAGAAUAAUGCCCCAUAGUUCACCACACCUGGAACGGUGGGUGGAUGAAAGCUCCGGCGGCAUAGGAUGGGCCUGCGGCGUAUCAGGUUGUAGGGGGUGUAAUGUACCCUCUAGCCAUCUACGCGUACGGGUGUUGAGAGACAUCGCCCGGAGAUGGAUUCUGAGACACGAAUCCAGACCCUACGGGGUGCAGCAGGCGCGAAAACUUGGCAAUGCGAGCAAUCGUGACCAGGGAACUCCAAGUGCAUCGGGUAAGACCGAUGCUUUUCUUGACUCUUCAAAGGUCUUGGAAUAAGGGGUGGGUAAGGACGGUGCCAGCCGCCGCGGUAAUACCGGCGCCUCAAGUGGUAGUCGCUUUUAUUGGGCCUAAAACGUCCGUAGCCGGUUUGGUACAUUCGUGGGUAAAUCAAGACGCUCAACGUCUUGAAUUCUGCGAGCACGGCCAGACUUGGGACCGGGUGAGGUGUGGGGUACUCUCAGGGUAGGGGUAAAAUCCUGUCAUCCUGAGAGGACCACCUGUUGCGAGGGCGCCACACUAGAACGGAUCUGACGGUCAGGGACGAAGCCUAGGGGCACGAACCGGAUUAGAUACCCGGGUAGUCCUAGGUGUAAACGCUGUGGACUUGAUGUUGGGAGUGCUCCGAGCGCCCUCAGUGUCGAAGCGAAGGUGAUAAGUCCACUGCCUGGGGAGUACGGUCGCAAGGCUGAAACUUAAAGGAAUUGUCGGGGGAGCACUGCAACCUGAGGAUUGUGCGGUUUAAUUUGGAGUCAACGCCGGAA